UUUACAAUGGAGAGUUUGAUCCUGGCUCAGGAUGAACGCUAGCGGGAGGCUUAACACAUGCAAGUCGAGGGGCAUCCCUGCCUUCGGGCAGGGGCGACCGGCGGACGGGUGCGUAACGCGUAUGCAACCUACCUUAUGCAGGGGGAUAGCCCAUGGAAACGUGGAUUAAUACCCCAUAGCACUGCGGGCCCGCAUGGGCCCCGCAGUUAAAGCCCUGGCGGCAUAAGACGGGCAUGCGUCUGAUUAGUUUGAUGGUGCGGUAACGGCGCACCAUGGCAACGAUCAGUAGGGGUCCUGAGAGGGUUACCCCCCACACUGGUACUGAGACACGGACCAGACUCCUACGGGAGGCAGCAGUGAGGAAUAUUGGGCAAUGGAGGCAACUCUGACCCAGCCAUCCCGCGUGCAGGAUGACAGCCCUAUGGGUCGUAAACUGCUUUUCUGCGCGAAGAACCCCCCCGAUGUAUCGGGGGCUGACGGUAGCGCAGGAAUAAGCACCGGCUAACUCCGUGCCAGCAGCCGCGGUAAUACGGAGGGUGCAAGCGUUAUCCGGAUUUAUUGGGUUUAAAGGGUGCGCAGGCGGCGAUGUAAGUCAGUGGUGAAAGGCUGCCGCUUAACGGUAGGACUGCCAUUGAUACUGCAUUGCUUGAGUAUGGUUGAGGUAAGCGGAAUGUGUGGUGUAGCGGUGAAAUGCAUAGAUAUCACACAGAACACCGAUUGCGAAGGCAGCUUACUAAGCCAUUACUGACGCUGAGGCACGAAAGCGUGGGUAGCGAACAGGAUUAGAUACCCUGGUAGUCCACGCCGUAAACGAUGUUCACUCGCUGUUUGCGAUAUACAGUAAGCGGCUGAGCGAAAGCAUUAAGUGAACCACCUGGGGAGUACGCCCGCAAGGGUGAAACUCAAAGGAAUUGACGGGGGCCCGCACAAGCGGUGGAACAUGUGGUUUAAUUCGAUGAUACGCGAGGAACCUUACCUGGGCUUAAAUGCAGGGUGCAUGGCGUGGAAACAUGCCUUUCCUCCGGGACCCCCUGCAAGGUGCUGCAUGGUUGUCGUCAGCUCGUGCCGUGAGGUGUCGGGUUAAGUCCCAUAACGAGCGCAACCCUUACCGUUAGUUGCCAUCGGGUCAAGCCGGGGACUCUAGCGGGACUGCCACCGUAAGGUGAGAGGAAGGUGGGGAUGACGUCAAAUCAGCACGGCCCUUAUGCCCAGGGCUACACACGUGUUACAAUGGCCGGUACAAAGGGCAGCUACUGCGCGAGCAGGUGCCAAUCCCAAAAGCCGGUCCCAGUUCGGAUCGGAGUCUGCAACCCGACUCCGUGAAGUUGGAAUCGCUAGUAAUCGGAUAUCAGCAACGAUCCGGUGAAUACGUUCCCGGGCCUUGUACACACCGCCCGUCAAACCAUGGAAGCUGGGGGUACCUGAAGUCUGUAACCGCAAGGAGCGGCCUAAGGUAAAUCUAGUGACUAGGGUUAAGUCGUAACAAGGUAGCCGUACCGGAAGGUGUGGCUGGAACACCUCCUUUCUG
rnacentral:rRNA from 1 species